AGGGAGCAGGAAGCCGGAAAGGUAACCUGCCUCGGUGAUUCGCCCCACCACUGCGGUAUCCCUGCGCCCCCGGUAGGGCUGGGAAGGGUGAAAAGGAAGAAAGCAGUGGAAAGCGCGAGGGGAAGAGGAGAGAAAGGCGCGCUGAUUGGAUGGCCGAGGGGGAGACGUGCCUGCACGCCGAGGGCUCUGAUUGGACGGCCGGUGGGAAAGGCGCCGGAGCCGGCGGUGGAAGUGCCCGGCUGCUGCUGCUGCUCCCGUCGCGGCGCCUCUACAAUCUUCCUCCCGGAGCGACCCGGCAGCGCCUCCCUGCCCGCCUCCCGCCCGUGCAACUUUCCCCCUCCGGCGCGAGUGUGAUGUUGGACAUGGGCGAUAGGAAGGAAGUGAAAAUGCUGCCCAAGUCGUCCUUCAGCAUCAACAGCCUGGUGCCCGAAGCCGUCCAGAACGACAACAACCACAGCCACCACCACAACAACCACCAUCCGCACCACCAUCACCACCACCACCACCACCAUCACCACCACCCCCAGCAGCAGCAGCCGCAGCAGCCCCAGCGAGCCGCCUCGGCAGAGGACGACGACGACGAGGACAAGAGUCAUCUCCUUCUGCAGCCCCCCGGGGUGGGGGUCGGAGUCGGGGUCGGCGUGGCCGGCUCGGCGGCGGCGUCCGGGGCAGCCACCAGCUCAGGUCCUCUGGAGGUGGUGGCCAAAGGGGACCUCUUGGCCGGCAAAGGGGAACCCGGCUCGGGCGCCGAGCUGGUGGACAAGGAGAAGAGCCCGUCGGAGGAGAAGAAGGGGGUGCCCGAGGGGGGCAAGGAAGGCGGCGGGGGUGACGGCGGGGGCAAGGAAGGCGAGAAGAAGAACGGCAAGUACGAGAAGCCGCCCUUCAGCUACAACGCGCUGAUCAUGAUGGCCAUCCGGCAGAGCCCGGAGAAGCGCUUGACCCUCAACGGCAUCUACGAGUUCAUCAUGAAGAACUUCCCCUACUACCGGGAGAACAAGCAGGGCUGGCAGAACUCCAUCCGCCACAACCUCUCGCUCAACAAGUGCUUCGUCAAGGUGCCCCGCCACUACGACGACCCCGGCAAGGGCAACUACUGGAUGCUGGACCCGUCCAGCGACGACGUCUUCAUCGGCGGCACCACCGGCAAGCUGCGCCGGCGCUCCACCACCUCGCGGGCCAAGCUGGCCUUCAAGCGGGGCGCCCGGCUCACCUCCACCGGCCUGACCUUCAUGGACCGCGCGGGCUCCCUGUACUGGCCCAUGUCGCCCUUCCUGUCCCUCCACCACCCGCGGGCCAGCAGCGCUCUGAGCUACAACGGGACGGCCUCGGCGUACCCCAGCCACCCCAUGCCCUACAGCUCGGUCCUGACCCAGAACUCGCUGGGCAACAACCACUCCUUCUCGGCCUCCAACGGGCUCAGCGUGGACAGGCUGGUCAACGGCGAGAUCCCCUACGCCACCCACCACCUCACCGCCGCCGCCCUGGCCGCCUCCGUGCCCUGCGGCCUCUCCGUGCCCUGCUCGGGCACCUACUCGCUCAACCCCUGCUCGGUCAACCUGCUGGCCGCCGGGCAGACCAGUUACUUUUUCCCCCACGUCCCCCACCCGUCCAUGACCUCGCAGAGCAGCAGUGCCAUGACGGCCCGGGCCGCCUCCUCGUCCACCUCGCCGCAAGCGCCCUCCACGCUGCCCUGCGAGUCCCUAAGACCUUCGCUGCCCAGCUUCACCACCGGACUGUCGGGGGGCUUGUCCGAUUAUUUCACGCACCAGAAUCAGGGCUCGUCCUCCAACCCGUUAAUACAUUAACCUUCCGGGGAUGGCUGAGACUGUAAGUGAACAUUUUACACACCUUUGCGUUGUACAGGAUGACGGGGACGAAAGAGCGAGAGAGCGAGCGAGCGAGAGCGAGAGAGCGAGCAAGAGAGUAUAAAAGGAACAAAACAAAAACAAAACAGACGUAAAAACUCACCCAGGAAAAAAAAAGUCCAGAUUCUCUGGCAGAAGAGGCGAAGGCGCAGAAGGGCCCAGAUUGACAGCGGAGGCUGGAAGAAGGUCCCCUGUGGAAGAAGGAAACGGUUCAGUGGGAGAGGAACGGAUUAAGGCGGCCACAAAGUCCCGUGGGAAGGGAGGGCAACAGCGAGACAAUCAAACAAGAACUGCGGAGAAGAAGCUCGUCUUUGAAGGGCACCGUCGGAGGAAGGAUCUGCGAGGGGAUAUAAAUGGCAACAAACAUGCGUUUCUUUCAAUGGUCCUUUGGGAAUGUCCUAUCUUUUCUUUCGGUAUUGUUUUUAAUACAAUGUCCCGGCGGGGAGAUGACAAGGGAAGGUGAGCCUCGAGUCUUAAGCCGGCCUUGACGGGUCAAAGGACGGGUCUCCCAUUUGUGUGUGUGUUUAGUGGGGGGCGGGGGGAUCCCUGCUCUGGCGGCUCAAAGACGAGGGACGGCCUGGGGAACGGAGGCGAGGGAAGAAGAGCGCGGUCGAUCCACAUGCCCUUGUCAGCAUUCCCUUUUGUCCGGGAUGCCAGGUUCUCCCUAUUUGAUCACCGGGACAACUCCGACGGUUGUGUGAUGCUGGGACGCGAUGGCUGACCUCCAAAGCCCCCAGUGGUCUCCCCCGUCUAGGACUGACAUUUGAUUGGUUAGCUAGGUCCACCCUUGCCCUACCUCUUCUCAAACCCAAUCGAACAAGCUUGAGGAGCGCCUCUGUUUUGAUUUCUUCAUUUAGUAUAUUUUUUAUCUCAACCCAUCUUCCAAGGAGAGACAUGAUCCCCACCCCCCCCACCUGUGUAUCCUGGCAAUAACCAUCCCCGAGGCUGGGACGGGGAAUCCGAAACCAACGAUUAAACGGCAAGCUUAGCUCAACCUUCACUGACUGGAGGCCCACCUUUCUCCAGACUUACUGGUGCCACUGCCAGUUAUCAUGUGGGCACCGCGCAGCACUGAGUGGCAUCUUGAACCAGGAACACGCAAGCUGUUGGGGGGCGGGGGUACUAAACUGAGGACGAGUGGAUGGGCGGGUGUUUGAAUCCGAGUAACAUCGCUCUUUUUACAGACCUCAUUCAUUCCAAUGGCUCCUACUGUCCGAGAGGCUGGACUUCAUUCACAUCAGCUAUGGUGGUGGUUCAGCUUCCUUUGGAUUUUUCCUUGAGGGUGGGGGGCAAAGCGAAGGUCUUUCCCCGGACUCUUUGCUGACACAGCCAGAAAGGCUGUGGGCCCACCCUGUGUCGGAUGCUCUAAAAGGCAGAUUUGGGGAAGGUGAGAAAAGGCUUGCCCUCCUCCUUGGCUUUCCACGCUUGGCUCUCAAGGGCACCCUGUAGGGCGGGUGACGAGAGCCGCCGCGCAGCAGUCUCAGACCAUGCGCUUUAUUUCUUUCGCACUUCUGCUUUUUGCUGAAGCGUUAAAACCAGGAUCUCAGUAAAUGGUUUUAUUCACUGCUUUAUAGCACAAUGUUCUUGAAAAUACCCAACAGCAGGUCAGGCAAUUCCUUAUGAAUCUUCUCUUUCUCGCUUUCCCUGUCUUUCUCGUGCACCCGCUGCAUAGAUGCAUCGCCUCUGGAACCCCAGCGGGGCCCUUUUGAUAGCGGAGCCACGUGGCUCCUUUGCCUUUCCCGCAACCUUGACUCUAGGCAUGUUUACUUGGAAGAAAAUUCCAUUUAAUGACUGGAGGAGGGGGGGGGGUAGGACUGAGGUGCUUUCAUCUGGUCUGCCCCUCCCCCACCUCAGUGUGACAUUUACAGAAUCUGAGAAGGGACUCUUCCGACUGGCUUCCCUAUCAAGUUGCGAGUCAUAUUUUGGGUGAAGGAGGGAACAGGCCAGCAGCUGCUUGCUCUGGUCAUCCAGCUGCUCUGCCCUCUUCUGCUUUGCAUAGUGACCCUUGUCUCCUCUACUCACUUCCAGCCAAGCUUGUGAUGUGUAAGAAAAUUACAUCUCCUCAUCUUUAUUUGGCAACUUCAGCCGUGGAGAAGUUCUGGGUUAGGAAGGAGACUUGCAUUUGGGGUUCCUCUGUUGGGAGUAAGUGCUAUUGAAUGCAGUGGGAGACUUAUAUCUGAGUAAUAAUGCAAAGGUUUUAAAUCCUGAUAGUAAAAUCUAAUGUGCCCCAUGUAAGCAUUUUUGUCAGGGUCAGAUUUAUAUUUUUAAGGGGGGCAAAAGUACAAAAUGACACCCCCAUAUAUUCUAUGCAUCUAUACAUCUAUAUACAUCUAUACAUCUGUAUAUAAUCAACAACUCUUUUAAUAGAAGAUAGAAGAAAUAGCUGAUAGAAUAAAUUAUAUUGACCUCUAUGAACUGUUAAUAAUUACAGUAUCUAUAAAGUUUGACUAUUCCCUCAGUCCCUCUGCAUGGAUAAAAACUCAAUUGAAGGAAAAA